AUAUGCAAGAAUAUUUUUUCCGAGAUUCUUUUUGAUGACUUCUACUAUCAUCUGAUUUUAAUGAAAUCAGCUUCAAACUACUUUUAGUCCUCUCAAGGGAAUGGCUUAUAGAUUGGAGAUUAAUCUCAAGCAUCUCUUCAAUCUAAUUCGUGAGUUACAAAGACUUGAUAAAACAUAAAAGCCUCUUUGUUUAUUUGAAAAACUUUAUCUGUAAUGCGAAGUGUUAAAGUGGGAACUUCAUUCUUUGAGCUCUUUGGAAGUCCUCUUAUCAUGCAAGGACAGUACUUAAGAUAGGAUUUACUCAAAGAGACCUUGAUUUAGAACACUAUUGUGCAAUCAUUAGUCCGGUAAUCUACAAGGCUUACAUCCUGACCUGAUAUCCUGGUGCUCCACAUUCCUGACGAAAACAUUCAACAAGUGACAGCUAAAGUUUGAAGAACCCCUGUUUUCAGCCAUCUGUAUAUUGUUUGUAGGUUACUUUCUUAACAACAUGUAUACAUAAAUGCCGAUGUAUGUUGAAUCCUGCCGCAACGCGCGGUGUUAAAUUCUAGUUCUAAACAACACAA